GACGAACGCUGGCGGCGUGCUUAACACAUGCAAGUCGAACGGAAAGGCCCUGCUUUUGUGGGGUGCUCGAGUGGCGAACGGGUGAGUAACACGUGAGUAACCUGCCCUUGACUUUGGGAUGACUUCAGGAAACUGGGGCUAAUACCGGAUAGGAGCCCCUGCUGCAUGGUGGGGGUUGGAAAGUUUCGGCGGUUGGGGAUGGACUCGCGGCUUAUCAGCUUGUUGGUGGGGUAGUGGCUUACCAAGGCUUUGACGGGUAGCCGGCCUGAGAGGGUGACCGGCCACAUUGGGACUGAGAUACGGCCCAGACUCCUACGGGAGGCAGCAGUGGGGAAUAUUGCACAAUGGGCGGAAGCCUGAUGCAGCAACGCCGCGUGCGGGAUGACGGCCUUCGGGUUGUAAACCGCUUUCGCCUGUGACGAAGCGUGAGUGACGGUAAUGGGUAAAGAAGCACCGGCUAACUACGUG
rnacentral:rRNA from 1 species